GCUAGAACAACUGUUUGGUCCUAUCAGAGUGCCAUGCCUGCCAGACAUGCUCUGAAUGUAUACAGCAGUGCCACGAGAGCUGCUCUUCUCUGCUGAGAUGGUUAUGGUUAGAAUUGGUUUCUAGCACAAAGCCUUAGAUACAUUUAUUUUUUCUUUAAGACAGUAUUUUAGGGCUCAGAAACUAAUGCAGUCACUGGUCUUGCCCUUCAGCUGCAGCUGAAGAUCUUGCAGGGGAGCUUGGGACAAGAGAAUGUGCAAAGGUUGAUUUAUUUUUCCUUGGAUUCCUUGAUCUUGAGUUAGUUGGCUGUGACCCUUUGUAUAACUGCACUAGCCCAAUGUGUGCCAUAGGACAAUCAUUUUAAGUCAUGUGGAUUAUAUCCAAUGGGUUUUCCAGAGUUCAAGAAAAGUUGCAUGCUGCUCUGUUGGUGAGUGGGAAAUUAAUUGCUUCUAGCUGGUUCCUCGGUCACCAGGUGAUGUCUCCUCAGCCACGAGGCAGUCCUCCGGUGAGCAGGGUCUGCCUUCCAGUGGUGCAAAGUCUCUUAGCACAUGCAACAGAGGAGUGGGUGCUCUUGCCAAUGGGAGCCAUUGGUUUCCUGUAUUACCAAUGCACCCAAACUAUUGGCUGUCUAAACUGGUGGAAGCGAAGAACAGCUUACCUUAAGGCAUAG
rnacentral:lncRNA from 1 species